CACUCGACACUCGGACCGGCUGCUGGCCGCGCACACUCUACUACGAGCCGUCAAGCAGUUCAGACGUGUCGAGUGCGAGAGAAGAGUGGAGCGAAACCGCUUUUGCUUUUGGUUUUGCUUUGGCGCCUUCCCAAAUCGUGUUUACUUAUCCCCUUUUUUCGAAAGCCUACUGCUACCUAACGAAUGCAAGUUCCGGCCACAGAGAGAAAGAGAGAGAGAGAGGGAUCAUAUCAGCAAAUGUAGUGAAAAAUCAAAGGGAAAGUCUCAAAAUAAAUCGUUGAGCGAGAAAAAAGUGCGUGUGCCAAGAGAUUGUUUAUUUUUAAAACGGGCAAAAACGUUGAACGGCAAACCGGCAAAAUACAAAAUACAAAAACAAAGUCAAAACAUAUAAUAACAAUAAAUUAUAUUCGCAUCAUUCAUUCAAUAAACCAACAAUAAACGGCGAAAGACAAGACACCGAAGAGCAGCGCUAUCGAUCGCCAAUAGAUCAUUAGAUCGGAUCGGUUUAAAUCCGAACUUCAGAUCAGCGGAAGUGACCAAAGAUCAAGAGACCCACCCAACAAAAUUCGAAUUUACUCGUACCCCUAAAUAUUGCGGUUCAUUGUGUGUGUGUGUGUUUUUUUAGUGUGUUUUUUCAAAGGCUUUGAAAAUGCCAUAAAAUCUUUAAUAGGUUUAUUUUAUUUACGAGUAUUUGGGUUUGCCUUUAUUCGUCGUCUUUCGUCUUCUGUGGGAAAAAAUGGCAAGAAUGCCCUCAAAAAUCGAAUCAAAAUAUUUACCGUUUUGACUGCGGAUUCAAUCGACGAUCACCCUUCGGGUGAAUCGGGACGCCUCCGCCUGCCUUCCUACAAUUGCACAGUGAAAUGCACUUUUGAAGGGGCAUCAAAAGACAGAGACAGAUACCGCCCAAGAGAGAGAGAGAGCGAAAGGGUUAGUGUGAAAGAGUGAGAAGGAGAGUAGCAGCCGCAGCA